AGAGUUUGAUCCUGGCUCAGGAUGAACGCUGGCGGCGUGCCUAACACAUGCAAGUCGAGCGAAGCGAUUUUGAGGAAGUUUACGGAUGGAAUUGGAAUUGA
rnacentral:rRNA from 1 species